CCUCCUAUUUUGAGUAUUAAGUAUAGAAUAAUAUUAAAAUGUUACGUAUAAUAUACAAUGACAUAUCAAAGUAUAGUAACUAUAUUUCUACUUCAACUGUACUAUUUCUAGAAAAAACUUUGAAAUUUGAGAUAACAAAAAAAGAACUAAUACUGAGGGCAGGUACAGCCACUGUUGUAGGUGGAAAGUUGGGGAGGUAAGAUACAUAUGGUUAUUUAAUUUAUAUCUAUAAGCAACGAUAAAC